GAUGAACGCUAGCGAUAGGCUUAACACAUGCAAGUCGAGGGGCAGCAUGGUCUUAGCUUGCUAAGACUGAUGGCGACCGGCGCACGGGUGCGUAACGCGUAUGCAACUUGCCUCACAGAGGGGGAUAACCCGUCGAAAGACGGACUAAUACCGCGUACACUUGGGAUAGGGCAUCCUGACCCAAGGAAAUGAAAUUCGCUGUGAGAUAGGCAUGCGUCCCAUUAGCUAGUUGGUGAGGUAACGGCUCACCAAGGCGACGAUGGGUAGGGGAACUGAGAGGUUGAACCCCCACACUGGUACUGAGACACGGACCAGACUCCUACGGGAGGCAGCAGUGAGGAAUAUUGGUCAAUGGGCGAGAGCCUGAACCAGCCAAGUCGCGUGAAGGAUGACUGUCUUAUGGAUUAUAAACUUCUUUUAUACGGGAAUAACAAGAGUCACGUGUGGCUCCCUGCAUGUACCGUAUGAAUAAGCAUCGGCUAACUCCGUG
rnacentral:rRNA from 1 species